AGAGUACUGCUCCUAUACCAGGACUCUCGUAAAGCUAAUUAGCUGAACUUCAGAAAGAAAGAAUAAUUUCCACGUUUUGUAUAUAUCUGACAAAACUGGCAACAUCAUACAGACUACUGACUUGAAGACAACCUCUUUUAUAUUUCUCGAUUUAUGGGCUAAUGAAUUUGUUUUCACCUAUCUUUUCCCUUUCAGAAUUUUCCUUGGGGGAAAAAAUACUAGUCAUUUCUUUGUUAAGGUAGUUAGCAAUAUUAAGUCUUUCUUUGGUCAACUUUUUUUUUUAAUGUGAAAAGUUAAGUAAGAAACUUUUUUACUGCUUUUAUGAUUUUCUGUCUUGUUUUGAAACCAUGAUGGUUAUACUUUUGGUUCCCAAAUAAAACAUUUAAAGAAAAAUUAAUUAACAGCAAAGUCACAAAGAUAAUGGAUUGCACAUAUACUAAGAAAUAAACUUCAAAUUUGUGAUUUUUUGUUUCUAAUCUUGAUGUAAAUUUACACUAUUUAUAAAUACAUAUUUAUUGCCUGAAAAUAUUUGUGAAUGGAAUGCCGUUAUUUUUUCCAGAUUUACCUGCCAUUGAAAUUUUAAGGAGUUCUGUAAUUUCAAACACUACUCCUAUUACAUUUUCUAUGUGUAAAUAAAACUGCUUAGCAUUGUACAGAAACUUUUAUUAAAAUUGUUUAAUCUUUAAAGAGUUUUCUAUUGUUUGAGUUUUACAAAGAAUUUAUGUACAGUGCCCAAUUUUUGUUCAAUUUUCAAAUCUGAUUAUAUAUAUUUUAUAUAUACUUAUGUCUGUAUAUAUAAUAUAUAUAUAUAUAGAAAUCUAGAUAUAUAUGUAUAAAGAUUUAGAACUUGAAUUUUUCUUGUUUUAAGUUUCACAUCUAUGGUAGAUUUUUCAGGUGUCUACUGUAAAAUAUUGCUUACAAAAAGUAUGAUUAUUUUUAAAGAAAUAUAUAUGGUAUGUAUCUUCAAGAGCUAAAAUGUCAGACUGGUUUAUUGUUAAAUUGCAACUACUGCAAUUACAGACAAAUAAAAAAAAAUCUGCCAAAUGCAGUAU
rnacentral:lncRNA from 1 species